UUCUUUAUGGGUUAUAAAUUUAAAUGUGAAAGUUUAUGAUUUUUAAAAAUGUAAAUUAUAGGAAAUGGAGACUUGAGUGAUUUAUUAAACUUGUAUGCUUUUCAGAAUAUUCAAUUUUUUUUUUUUUUUGAGGUGGAGUUUCACUUUUGUCACCCAGGUUAGAGUGCAAUGGUGUGAUCUCGGCUCACUGCAACCUCCGCCUUUCCGGUUCAAGCGAUUCUCCUGCCUCAGCCUCCCGAGUAGCUGGGAUUACAGGUGCCUGCCACCAAGCCGAGCUAAUUUUUGUGUUUUUAGUAGAGACAGGGUUUCAUCAUGUUGGCCAGGCUGGUCUUCAACUCCUGACCUCAGGUGAUGCACCCGCCUCAGCCUCCCAAAGUGCUGGUAUUACAGGCGUGAGCCACUGGGCCUGGCCAGAAUAUUCAAACUUUGAAUGGCAAAGUACUGUGCCUAAAAUUAUGAUUUCUGUGUAAAGCAAAAUUGUUUCAGAGUUUUCGUAGAUCAGGAGUCAUUAUACGGGAGUUUUUCUGAGCUUAUAAUGUUUUUCAUACUUUUUUUUUAAAGAUGCCUGAAGAGCCAAAGCUGACUUUGGAUGAGUCUUAUGACCUUGAUGUUGAAAAUGAAGAAGUCCUAACUUUGCAAGAAACUCUGGAAGCACUUAGCCUCUCUGAAUAUUUUAGCACUUUUGAAAAGGAAAAGAUUGAUAUGGAAUCCCUGGUACUGAUCAUAGUUUGCUUCAUUUUGUUUGAAAUUGUUUUUCUUGCGUAGAUUGAAAAUUAGGAAUAAACAUUUUCGUAUCAAAAUACACUCCAGAGUAGACAAAGACUGAAAUGUUUUAAAAAAUUGAAAAACACAGAAGAAUAUUUUUUUAUAAUCUGAAAGGCUUUUCUGAGUAUGAUGCAAAAUCCAGAAGCCAUCAAAGAAAAAAAUUGUGUAACAGUAGACACCAUAAACAACAUCUAAAGGCCAGUGAUACAUUUGCAACACACAUUAUAGACAGAGGGCUUAUUUCAUUGAUUUUCAAAGCUUCUACAAAUCAGUUACAGAAAGACCAUCACAUCAGUGUGAUAUGUAAAUAGGCAAAGAAUAUAAACAUGAUUUACAGAAAAGGAAAUAACAAAUGGUGUCUUGGCGUAUGAAAACUCAUAAGAGAAAUGGAAAUUGAAAGUACAAUGGGAUUUUUUUUUAACUUACCAGUUUGAAAAAAUAGGAAGUUUGAUAAUAUGCUAUGUGGCCAGGGUUACUACUUAAAGAAAUUUAUCGAACAAUGAACAUUAGUCCAGAACAGCCCCAGCAUUGAUCAAACUUCAGUUUUACUGUGUGAGUUUAUCCUUUUGAGGUCAGGAGUUUGAGACCAGCCUGGCCAACAUGGUGAGACCCCUGUCUCUACUAAAAAUACAAAAAUUAGCCGGGCAUGGUGGCAUGCGCCUGUAAUCCCAGGUACUAUUUUAAAAUUAGAUGAAAAUCCAAAAAAAUCCAUUGAGGAAUAUGUGAUUAUCUAAAAAAAAAAGAUGAUCUCAGCUGGACACAGUGGCUCAUGCUUGUAAUCCCAGCACUUUGGGAGGCUGAGGUGGGAGGAUUGUGUGAGCCCAAAAGUUAGAGACUAGCAAUAUAGGGAGACCUCAUCUCUACAUUUUUUUUUAGAUGGAGUCUCGCCUGUCUCUCAGGGUGGAGUGCAGUGGUGGGAUCUUGGCUCACUGC
rnacentral:lncRNA from 1 species